rnacentral:rRNA from 1 species
GACGAACGCUGGCGGCGUGCUUAACACAUGCAAGUCGAACGGAAAGGCCCUGCUUUUGUGGGGUGCUCGAGUGGCGAACGGGUGAGUAACACGUGAGUAACCUGCCCUUGACUUUGGGAUAACUUCAGGAAACUGGGGCUAAUACCGGAUAGGAGCUCCUGCUGCAUGGUGGGGGUUGGAAAGUUUCGGCGGUUGGGGAUGGACUCGCGGCUUAUCAGCUUGUUGGUGGGGUAGUGGCUUACCAAGGCUUUGACGGGUAGCCGGCCUGAGAGGGUGACCGGCCACAUUGGGACUGAGAUACGGCCCAGACUCCUACGGGAGGCAGCAGUGGGGGAUAUUGCACAAUGGGCGGAAGCCUGAUGCAGCAACGCCGCGUGCGGGAUGACGGCCUUCGGGUUGUAAACCGCCUUCGCCUGUGACGAAGCGUGAGUGACGGUAAUGGGUAAAGAAGCACCGGCUAACUACGUG